rnacentral:tRNA from 6 species
GCGGGGGUGCCGGAGUGGUCAAACGGGCAAGAUUAAGGCUCUUGUGGUUUAUCCUUACGCAGGUUCGAAUCCUGUCCCUCGCA